rnacentral:miRNA from 1 species
AAAGAUGAUGAGUUGCUGAUG